UACGUAGGGUGCAAGCGUUGUCCGGAAUUAUUGGGCGUAAAGAGCGUGUAGGCGGCCAGGUAGGUCUGCUGUGAAAACUCGAGGCUCAACCUCGAGACGUCGGCGGAAACCAUCUGGCUAGAGUCCGGAAGAGGAGAAUGGAAUUCCCGGUGUAGCGGUGAAAUGCGCAGAUAUCGGGAGGAACACCGGUGGCGAAGGCGGUUCUCUGGGCCUUACCUGACGCUGAGGAGCGAAAGCGUGGGGAGCGAACAGG
rnacentral:rRNA from 1 species